AGUUAACAACGUUCACAGCACUGUCUGGUUCACACUGAGUUUUUAGCGGUGACUGUCCUUCCUUUGCAGUACCUGAAGUUGCUGCAUUUUGGCUGCUGUCUGUAGAUUCCUUCAUGCACGACUCGUAUUCUUUUGGAUGUUUCAU